UGAGGCCUUAGUUUAAUUAAAGCGGUUGAGUUGCAUUCAGUAGAUGUAGAUUAGCAAUUUACAGGUCUU
rnacentral:tRNA from 1 species